rnacentral:lncRNA from 1 species
CAACGCCCUGGCGGAUCUGGCAGAUUUCAAACAAUGAUUCCGAAACUUAUUUUCUCUCUCCAACAGACACACUCACUUAGCAGUGAUUCUCAAAAGGAGAGAAAUACACCCUCCCUCCUCAAUCCCCUGCAGGCUAAGGCAUCUGUGGAACUUACAGCUCUCUUGCCAGUUGACAAUUGCGGUCCCACAGUCAGAGCCAUGCCUUUCAUCUUUAUUGUAGAGGCCUAUCUCUUGAUACUUCAGCUGCUCAUCAUAACCUGCCAGGAAGGGAGAUCUAUUUCUAUUAUGCAAAUGAAGAAAUUAAGGCACAGAAAGGCCAAGGACAUCCUUUGGCACAUGGCUGGGGAGAGGCAGAGCUGAACUCUGAACAAACGCAGACCUGCCCGUCCGUCCCCACAUCUGGAUUUCCGGCUGCUCCUGAGAAGUGGGAACACUGGGCAGCCCCAACCUUCACUCCAGCAUGGCAGAUACUGGGGUGAGCAGAAUGACCCCCAUCCCUGUUGAUGAAAACUGGGCCUGUGUUUUGCCGCACUCCCCACUUCUCCCUUUUGUGGCUUGGACACCGAGGCUGGGUGGUGUUGGUUGCCAAUUAGCGUUGUGUUUGUGCUGUUUUAGUUUUCUUGGUUCAUAGAAGUAGUUCUCUAUACUCAUGUCUCCAACAAAAGUGAGACAAUAAAAGACUCUAAGUGCUUGAACUUCAUCUAAAAUGGGAGAGAGCAUCUUUCUUUGUGGACGCAAAGGCUACCUAAUCCUGUUUAAUAGGUAAGUACCUAUUACUGACCUCGGCACUUGACCAGUUUUACUCAUUUUCCCACC